rnacentral:rRNA from 1 species
GAUGAACGCCGGCGGCGUGCUUAACACAUGCAAGUCGAACGGUGAAAGCGGAGCUUGCUCCGCUGGAUCAGUGGCGAACGGGUGAGUAACACGUGGGCAACCUGCCCCUCACUUCGGGAUAACUCCGGGAAACCGGGGCUAAUACCGGAUAUGACCUCCUUGGGCAUCCUUGGAGGUGGAAAGUUUUUCGGUGAGGGAUGGGCCCGCGGCCUAUCAGCUUGUUGGUGAGGUAGUGGCUCACCAAGGCGACGACGGGUAGCCGGCCUGAGAGGGCGACCGGCCACACUGGGACUGAGACACGGCCCAGACUCCUACGGGAGGCAGCAGUGGGGAAUAUUGCGCAAUGGGCGAAAGCCUGACGCAGCAACGCCGCGUGCGGGAUGACGGCCUUCGGGUUGUAAACCGCUUUCAGCAGGGAAGAAGCCGCAAGGUGACGGUACCUGCAGAAGAAGCACCGGCUAACUACGUGCCAGCCGCCGCGGUAA